rnacentral:tRNA from 1 species
GACCACAUGACACAGUGGUUUAGUGCCUGGCUUCACUCUGCUUUAGGGCAAGCAAUUAUGCGUAGGUUCAAAUCCUAUUAUGGCCG